GAAAUGCGAUAAGUAGUGUGAAUUGCAGAAUUCAGUGAAUCAUCGAAUCUUUGAACGCACAUUGCGCCCUUUGGUAUUCCUUAGGGCAUGCCUGUUCGAGCGUCAUCUAAACCUUCAAGCCCUGCUUGGUGUUGGGUGCCUGUCCCGCCUCCGCGCGCGGACUCACCUCAAAUCCAUUGGCGGCCCCCGCGUCGGCCACGAGCGCAGCAGAAACGCGAACUCGUGAGCCCGUCCGGGCGGCUCCCAGAAGCUACACCCACCCAGUUUGACCUCGGAUCAGGUAGGGAUACCCGCUGAACUUAAG
rnacentral:misc_RNA from 1 species